rnacentral:lncRNA from 1 species
GGGACGUGUGGGUGUGUGGGCAUGUGUGGGUGUGUUGGGGAGGGUGCCCAGCGACAUGUGACAAAGACGCCCGUCUCCGGGAGAUGGUGAAGGGGCCCGCGAGCAGGCGCUUUGUCUGGCUGUCUGCAGAGUGAGGUUCGCGCCGCGGCGGCGGGCGCCCGUGCGGUGCAGGAUGCCGGGGCGCCAGGAUGGCCGGGGGCGCGCGCGCCUGUGCCAGGGGCGCUCACCAUGGCCCCGCCGCUCCUGCUGCUGCUGCUGGCCAGUGGAGCGGCCG